GUGGGGAAUAUUGGACAAUGGGCGAAAGCCUGAUCCAGCAAUGCCGCGUGAGUGAUGAAGGCCUUAGGGUUGUAAAGCUCUUUUACCCGGGAUGAUAAUGACAGUACCGGGAGAAUAAGCCCCGGCUAACUCCGUGCCAGCAGCCGCGGUAAUACGGAGGGGGCUAGCGUUGUUCGGAAAUACUGGGCGUAAAGCGAACGUAGGCGGCGUGGCAAGUCAGGGGUGAAAUCCCGGAGCUCAACUCCGGAACUGCCUUUGAAACUGCUAUGCUAGAAUCCUGGAGAGGCGAGUGGAAUUCCGAGUGUAGAGGUGAAAUUCGUAGAUAUUCGGAAGAACACCAGUGGCGAAGGCGACUCGCUGGACAGGUAUUGACGCUGAGGUUCGAAAGCGUGGGGAGCAAACAGG
rnacentral:rRNA from 1 species